CUCUGAUACGCUCCGGUUCGGUUUGGUUUUUUGUUUCGGACUUCAACCGUUCAAGUUCAUGGUCAUCACCGGAGGAGCUUUAUCAGCGGUCUGGACUUUUUAGAGUUUUCCAGCCAGAACCUGUCUUCACUUCGGGUGCUGAUCCUAACAUCUGUGGACUGCAGUGGACUCCAGAAAGGUACAGAUCUGCUGUCGAACAGCUGGAGACAGAGGAUGCCUCGCAAGUACAAGGGAUAAAGUUCAGAUAUGGCUGAAUCACAGAUACCAAAGAAGCUAAGUGAUGCCGUAGCAGCAGUGCUACCGGAUCUUCCUGAUCAAGUUAUCAAGUCAAUAGAAGAUACUUUGAAGGCACUUGGUGCAACAAGAACAGAUGAUUUACAGUACAUUACAGAGGGAGACUUACUACCAGUAUUAAUGCCCAUACAAGGGUGAUUCUUAGACUACGGGCACUAUUGGCCUUGUAAAUGUAAUUUCCACCACACCAUUGCUUUACAAUAUAAAGCGCCU